CCCUUAGAUGUUCUGGGCCGCACGCGCGCUACAAUGGUCUUCGCAAACGGAUGCAUUCUCGAAGGAGAAUGCCAAUCUUGGAAUCUAUGCCUUGGUCGGGACAGUUGCUUGCAAUUUUUCGACUCGAACCAGGAAUUCCUUGUAAUCGUGAUUCAUCACAUCACGAUGAAUACGUCCCUGCCCUUUGUACACACCGCCCGUCGCUCCUACCGAUCGAAGAGUUAGGUGAAUUGUUUUGAGCGAUAAGAUUUGACUAUGGUCAACUCUCGUUGUGAAAUUCUGUGAAUCUGACUGUUUAGAGGAAGGAAAAGUCGUAACA
rnacentral:rRNA from 1 species